rnacentral:rRNA from 1 species
GAGUUUGAUCCUGGCUCAGGAUGAACGCUGGCGGCGUGCUUAACACAUGCAAGUCGAACGGGAAUUACUUUAUUGAAACUUCGGUCGAUAUGAUUUAAUUCUAGUGGCGGACGGGUGAGUAACGCGUGGGUAACCUGCCUUAUACAGGGGGAUAACAGUCAGAAAUGACUGCUAAUACCGCAUAAGCGCACAGAACCGCAUGGUUCCGUGUGAAAAACUCCGGUGGUAUAAGAUGGACCCGCGUUGGAUUAGCUGGUUGGCAGGGCAGCGGCCUACCAAGGCGACGAUCCAUAGCCGGCCUGAGAGGGUGAACGGCCACAUUGGGACUGAGACACGGCCCAGACUCCUACGGGAGGCAGCAGUGGGGAAUAUUGCACAAUGGGGGAAACCCUGAUGCAGCGACGCCGCGUGAAGGAAGAAGUAUCUCGGUAUGUAAACUUCUAUCAGCAGGGAAGAUAAUGACGGUACCUGACUAAGAAGCCCCGGCUAACUACGUGCCAGCCGCCGCGGUAAUUC